UUCCCUUUAAGCCACCCCUUUAAGUUCAUUGUCAUGUGUGUUUCCGGGUUGGCUGCUGCUCACUGUUGGUUGUCGCGUCGGUUGUUGAUAAAACAACUUGAAUUUUCUAAAUCGACUCGUCACUCUUUCAAUCUCUAAGCUGUGAAGAUUCGCGGUUGUGAUUCAUUAACACCUGGUAUACCUUCCUGAUUUGAACAAGGUACCAUGGCAUCCACCUACUCUGACAAUCCGUUACUCGACGGUCAGGUUUUUUCUUCUGGUCCCCUUCAUUGACACACUUGAUGACGGAAGAUGGCGAGCUACCCACCCACCAUCUGGUGGUAGGAGAACAGAACUACACCUUCCAUAUAGGAACUAAACAGACUAAGGAGUAUUAAAAAGGAAAAAUAACUAUUCUCCCUUCA